rnacentral:lncRNA from 1 species
GUACAAAAUAUGCUCUAGAAAAAAGUAUGUGUCAGCCAAAAUUAGUUUUUAAGGCACACAUCUAACAAAAUCCCACUUGCAUUAAAGCCAAUCUAUCAUAUACCUGAGCCCCAUCUUCUGAAGAUAGGCUUCGGUGUUUAGCUGGCUCAGUGACUUGGGCCUACCAUAUUUCAUGUAGAGUUUACUCUCUUUUUCUUCAUGUAUUUCUACUUAAGGUAAUCGCAUAUAUCUCCAUUCUAUAUGCAUGGACUUCUGAUGAGAUCUUGGCUCUUUAGCAAGGGCUAUGGACUAUUAUCUUUAU